CCUUAAUUAAGUUAGGGGACUCAUCAUAAGAAGUAACCUUAAUGAACACCGAUGGAAUGAGAAAAUCGUAAGCGCUAUGCGACAAGGAGAUUUUUGGAUUAGUCGGUAAUGAUAUCCAAGCUUAUACCCUUAAGAUAACCUCAUAACAUCAGUCGAUGUCCCGUGUUUUAAAGUGUGCCAACCAAGCCAAAUAAUGAUAUAAUGCAGUAAGUUGAGUAAUAGAGUUAUUGCUGGAAGCAAUAAUCAGAGUAAGUCAGAAAAGGAGACUGACUGUGACGAGGGACAACAAAGUGAAAUGAUAAGUAAACAGGAACCAACUCGCGAAGAAUGUCGCUUGUCGAAGUAGGGGUAGUUACUGGAUCAAUACAGGCAUUAUAAUUGAAUGCAACAAUGAGGAGACUUUGAGUAUGAAAUAAUUGUAAUAGAUAAGGAGUGAAGUGGUGCAGACAUGUUAGAUUUUGGUGAAGUAUUUAUACAGUGGUGCAUCGGACGUCACUAAGUGAUGCGAGUAUUACUUUGUAACGUUUACGGUACAAGAAGUAAUAACAAUAUGAGUAACGCCAGAUAAGAUGAGACAAUGUGUGACAUUGCCCGGGAAUUGUAGACCGAGGUUGUAAUGACG
rnacentral:lncRNA from 1 species